AUGGAGAAGUCAUUGGCGAAGUCACAAGGCCCUCUACUUUUCAUUAUAAAACAGAUAACCAGAAAAAGAUGGAUUGUAUUGCGAAAGAAUCUUUGGACCCAUAAAAAGCGGAUUUGCGCUUGUGGCAAUUCUCGAGUGAGCGGAGCUGAAAACAAAGACGAAAGAUUUUACCAAAAAUGCGGGGUAGAAUUUGUGGAUUCUCGGAUACGAAGAUAUCAAAUGGGAUACAUCAAACUCGUAUGUCCCGUGACUCAUGUGUGGUAUUUGAAAGGUCUUCCUAGUUAUUUUGCGAAUCUUGUAGAUAAACCUGUUAAGAAGUUGGAGGGCCUAGUAUACGACGAUUUUUCUUUUGCUAGGCCCAGCACUAAAAAACCCAGUUCUUUUACGAUUACGAAGGUUUAUUCGAAGAGGAAAUUGCAUCCUGUAACCACAACAUUUCUCCCUUUUUUUACCCCAGGCUUUGCAACAUUUUUAAAUCAGGAAAUUGCGACAGGAGUAGGUGCUAUUACAGAACAAUUAGCAGGUUUGGAUUUGCGAAUUAUUAUAGAGAAUUGUUUGGUCGAAUGGAUGGAAUUAGAAGACGAGGGGUAUAGUGGAGAUGAGUGGGAAGAUAGAAGAAGACGAAUAAGAAAAGUUUUUUUGAUUAGACGCAUACAAUUGGUGAAACAUUUUGUUCAAACAAAUGUAGAACCAGAAUGGAUGGUUUUGUGCUUAUUACCGGUUCUUCCUCCCGAAUUAAGACCUAUUGUUUAUAGGUCUGGUGAUAAAGUAGUGACUUCAGACAUUAAUGAACUUUAUAAGAGAGUUAUCCGUCGGAACAACAAUCUUGACUAUCUAUUAAAAAGAAGUGAAUUAGCGCCAGCAGAUUUAGUAAUGUGCCAGGAAAAGUUGGUACAAGAAGCCGUGGAUACACUUCUUGGUAGUGGGUCCCGCGGGCAACCGACGAGGGAUGGUCACAAUAAAGUAUACAAAUCACUUUCAGAUGUAACUGAAGGUAAAGAGGAAAGGUUUCGCGAGGCUCUGCUUGGGAAACGGGUCGAUUACUCAGGGCGUUUUGUCAUUGUUGUGGGUCUUUCGCUUUCAUUACAUCAAUGUAGAUUACCUCUAUAG
rnacentral:rRNA from 1 species